AUGGAAUCGGAGCCGGCCGCGCUGCCCGACGACGCGCUCGCGGAGGUCCUCCGGCGUCUCCCGCCGCACAUCCUGGCCAAGGCCCGGCGGGUGUGCAAGGCGUGGCGCGACGCCGUCGACGGCCGCGUGCGCGGCAACCUGCUUCCGCGCUCGGUGCGUGGCAUCUUCAUCAACUUCGCCGCGAAUCACUACUCGGAGUUCUUCGCCCGCCCCUCCACGGGCCCGGCGAUCGACGGAGGGCUCGGUUUCCUGCCCUGCGCGGGCGUCACGGUCACGGGCCACUGCGACGGCCUUCUGCUUUGCCGCGAGUCGCGGGACGAUGCACCGCCGCGCGAGUACGUCGUCAACCCGGCCACGCGUCGGUGGGCGCGCUUGCCCAAACGACCCCCGCCGCACAUGCCAGGAUUCGAGCAGACCGCCUACCUCGCGUUCGAGGCCGCCGUGUCACCGCACUACCAGGUCUUUCUGAUCCCACGCGUGCCACUGCGACGACUGCCAGCCGACGGGGAAUCCGACGACGAGGACCCGUUGCUCCAGUCGGAGUGGCCUCCAACGUCAUACCUCAUCCAUGUGUUCUCGUCGGUGACUCAGCAAUGGGACGAGAUGACCUUCCUUCGGGAAGGGGAGGCUGCAGGGAUCGUCGCCAACAUGGAGUGGAAUUCUUGGUAUAAGCACUGUCGUUUUUAUGCCGUCUACUGGCAAAGCACGCUCUACAUCCAUUGCACGAAUGGCUAUCUUAUCGCCAAGGCCAAGCGUACAAGGGCAACUCCGGUGGCGUCUUGUGCUCCUAGCGCUCGCGCCAAGGCCAAGCUUGAAGACAUGACCUCUCUGGAAAGUGCCAAGCUCCGUGCUGCUGACAAGAACAUGGACACGACAGACGUGGACCCCGCUGGGGAAGGAGCGCGAUGCUGA
rnacentral:rRNA from 1 species